AGUGAACGCUGGCGGUAGGCCUAACACAUGCAAGUCGAACGGCAGCACAGUAAGAGCUUGCUCUUACGGGUGGCGAGUGGCGGACGGGUGAGGAAUACAUCGGAAUCUACUUUUUCGUGGGGGAUAACGUAGGGAAACUUACGCUAAUACCGCAUACGACCUACGGGUGAAAGCAGGGGAUCUUCGGACCUUGCGCGAUUGUAUGAGCCGAUGUCGGAUUAGCUAGUUGGCGGGGUAAAGGCCCACCAAGGCGACGAUCCGUAGCUGGUCUGAGAGGAUGAUCAGCCACACUGGAACUGAGACACGGUCCAGACUCCUACGGGAGGCAGCAGUGGGGAAUAUUGGACAGUGGGCGCAAGCCUGAUCCAGCCAUACCGCGUGGGUGAAGAAGGCCUUCGGGUUGUAAAGCCCUUUUGUUGGGAAAGAAAAGCAGCAGGUUAAUACCCCGCUGUUCUGACGGUACCCAAAGAAUAAGCACCGGCUAACUUCGU
rnacentral:rRNA from 1 species